rnacentral:rRNA from 2 species
UCACACUCUCGUUAGAUUGAACAAGCUUGCUUCUGAUUGAUAACAUUUGAGUGAGUGGCGGACGGGUGAGUAACACGUGGGUAACCUGCCCUAAAGUGGGGGAUAACAUUUGGAAACAGAUGCUAAUACCGCAUAAAACCUAGCACCGCAUGGUGCAAGGUUGAAAGAUGGUUUCGGCUAUCACUUUAGUGAUGGACCCGCGGUGCAUUAGUUAGUUGGUGAGGUAAAGGCUCACCAAGACCGUGAUGCAUAGCCGACCUGAGAGGGUAAUCGGCCACACUGGGACUGAGACACGGCCCAGACUCCUACGGGAGGCAGCAGUAGGGAAUCUUCCACAAUGGACGAAAGUCUGAUGGAGCAACGCCGCGUGAGUGAAGAAGGUUUUCGGAUCGUAAAACUCUGUUGUUGGAGAAGAACGUAUUUGAUAGUAACUGAUCAGGUAGUGACGGUAUCCAACCAGAAAGCCACGGCUAACUACGUGCCAGCAGCCGCGGUAAUACGUAGGUGGCAAGCGUUGUCCGGAUUUAUUGGGCGUAAAGCGAGCGCAGGCGGUUUCUUAAGUCUGAUGUGAAAGCCUUCGGCUCAACCGAAGAAGUGCAUCGGAAACUGGGAAACUUGAGUGCAGAAGAGGACAGUGGAACUCCAUGUGUAGCGGUGAAAUGCGUAGAUAUAUGGAAGAACACAGUGGCG